UACAGAGGUCUCAAGCGUUGUUCGGAUUCAUUGGGCGUAAAGGGUGCGUAGGCGGCAGCGCAAGUCAGGUGUGAAAUCCCGGGGCUCAACCCCGGAACUGCACUUGAUACUGCGUUGCUUGAGUACUGGAGAGGAGACUGGAAUUUACGGUGUAGCAGUGAAAUGCGUAGAUAUCGUAAGGAAGACCAGUGGCGAAGGCGAGUCUCUGGACAGUUACUGACGCUGAGGCGCGAAAGCGUGGGGAGCAAACGGG
rnacentral:rRNA from 1 species